CUCAAUAAGAGGUCCAGCCUGCCAGUGACCCUGUUCAACGGCCGCGGUAUCCUAACCGUGCGAAGGUAGCGUAAUCACUUGUUCUUUAAAUGAGGACUAGUAUGAAUGGCAUCACGAAGGUUAUACUGUCUCCUCUCUCUAAUCAGUGAAACUAAUCUCCCCGUGAAGAAGCAGGGAUAAUCUUAUAAGACGAGAAGACCCUAUGGAGCUUUAAACUAAGAAGCAAUUGCCCUCAUACCUUUGAAAUUCCAGAAAACUAAUGAGUACAAGGCACUGUGACUUCCAGUUUUAGGUUGGGGUGACCACGGAGUAAAAACUAACCUCCGUACUGAAUAGGGGCCUUCCCUAAACUAAGGGCCACAACCCUAAGAAUCAAUACAUUGACAGCAAUUGACCCAAAAAAUUUGAUCAAUGAACCAAGUUACCCUAGGGAUAACAGCGCAAUCCACUUCAAGAGCUCCUAUCGACAAGUGGGUUUACGACCUCGAUGUUGGAUCAGGGUAUCCCAGUGGUGCAGCCGCUACUAACGGUUCGU
rnacentral:rRNA from 1 species